GAUGAACGCUGGCGGCGUGCCUAAUACAUGCAAGUCGAGCGAACAGACGAGGAGCUUGCUUCUCUGACGUUAGCGGCGGACGGGUGAGUAACGCGUGGAUAACCUACCUAUAAGACUGGGAUAACUUCGGGAAACCGGAGCUAAUACCGGAUAAUAUUUUGAACCGCAUGGUUCAAUAGUGAAAGACGGUCUUGCUGUCACUUAUAGAUGGAUCCGCGCUGCAUUAGCUAGUUGGUAAGGUAACGGCUUACCAAGGCAACGAUGCGUAGCCGACCUGAGAGGGGGAUCGGCCACACUGGAACUGAGACACGGUCCAGACUCCUACGGGAGGCAGCAGUAGGGAAUCUUCCGCAAUGGGCGAAAGCCUGACGGAGCAACGCCGCGUGAGUGAUGAAGGUCUUCGGAUCGUAAAACUCUGUUAUUAGGGAAGAACAUAUGUGUAAGUAACUGUGCACAUCUUGACGGUACCUAAUCAGAAAGCCACGGCUAACUACGUG
rnacentral:rRNA from 1 species